GCGGGAAGAAAGAAAAGUAAGUCAGAGUACGAAAGGAAAAGGAUCACCGCUGGCGGUCUUUCAUCCGACUAGAGGCUUAUGUACUUUGGAACGAAUUUGCACGAACUACCGUACCACUUUUGGAAAUAGGACAUUCUGCCCACCACUGUCUGAAGAAGAGCGUCCUAACUCUUCCCACUUCUUGUGAAGAAAGUAAGGCAAGCAAACGUGCAGACUAUAAUGUGGAAGGUAUGUAAGCCAGUCAAAGUGGCGGACCCUUCUAUGGAAUUGGGAAGGGAAAGUGGAAUUUAGAAGUAAAAGUAGGCUUACAAUGCUACUUUGAAUCGCGCUCUGGAAGAUGU
rnacentral:rRNA from 1 species